GGGAAGGAUGAGAAGCUUCGACUAAGGUUCGACUCGAGCGCCAGCGAGAGAACGUUGCCACAGGCAACGGCCCGAAGGGCGAGGCGCUUUAGCGCCGAGUAAUCCUUCCCCCACCACCA
rnacentral:sRNA from 2 species